CUCAAGUCUAGCUCACAGCAUAGACUGCUAAUUCGUGCUGAAUAUGUCUCUAACUCUUCUACAAAGUGCCCCAGGCAGGUAGACUGGUUGUCUGUGUUUCUAUCAGAUUUAAAUCCACAUUUCCAUAAAACCUCUAAAAGAAAAGCCCCACUGGGGUUUGAACCCAGAAUCUCCUAUUUAUUAGGCAGGUGCUUUAACCAACUAAGCCACAGAGCCUUAUAAUCCAUCCUAUUUUAUCAUGCCUUAAUCUGUGUUUUAUUUCUGUCAUUUCUUGAGGAUUUAACAAGAAGGUGAACCUGGACCACAGUCAGAACCAAAGAACACUCUGUGUGGAAUGAGAACUCUGCGGAGAAGCCCAUCUUGCUUGGUUCUGAGACCCAUCGCAUCCCCUCAGACCCACAGGAAGCCUGCCUUUCCAACUCUGUGGGGACAAAAUAUUUUCUGCCUGAAGCAAUACAGUGCCCAAAGAUACUUGAAGUAGUUUGGAAGGAGCUGGUGAUCAAGAAAAACUAUAUAUUCACCCAACAAAUACUUGAAAUGAACAAAUACAUUCUUCAGAAUGUAAUAAUUAGUUAUUUUUUAGUAAAGAUAUUCAAGACAUAGAAUUCAGUAAAAAAGAGGUAUAGAAUUCAGUAAAGAAAAAUGGGGCACAAAAAUGUUUUCCCAGGAUGAUAAUCCUUUUUAAAAAUGUAUACACAUAUGUAUAUAAAUAUAUAUAUAUAAUAAAAUGUGCUUAACAGUGUUGACUUUGGAAUGU
rnacentral:tRNA from 1 species